GUGGGGAAUCUUGCGCAAUGGGCGAAAGCCUGACGCAGCCAUGCCGCGUGGAUGAUGAAGGUCUUAGGAUUGUAAAAUCCUUUCACCGGUGAAGAUAAUGACUGUAGCCGGAGAAGAAGCACCGGCUAACUUCGUGCCAGCAGCCGCGGUAAUACGAAGGGGGCUAGCGUUGCUCGGAUUUACUGGGCGUAAGGGGCGCGUAGGCGGACAUUUAAGUCAGGGGGGAAAUCACGGGGCUCAACCUCGGAACUGCCUUUGAUACUGGGUGUCUUGAGUAUGAGAGAGGUGUGUGGAACUCCGAGUGUAGAGGUGAAAUUCGUAGAUAUUCGGAAGAACACCAGUGGCGAAGGCGACACACUGGCUCAUUACUGACGCUGAGGCGCGAAAGCGUGGGGAGCAAACAGGAUUAGAAACCCGUGUAGUCC
rnacentral:rRNA from 1 species